AACGAACGCUGGCGGCAUGCCUAACACAUGCAAGUCGAACGAGACCUUCGGGUCUAGUGGCGCACGGGUGCGUAACGCGUGGGAACCUGCCCUUAGGUUCGGAAUAACUCCCCGAAAGGGGUGCUAAUACCGGAUAAUGUCUUCGGACCAAAGAUUUAUCGCCUUUGGAUGGGCCCGCGUUGGAUUAGCUAGUUGGUAGGGUAAAAGCCUACCAAGGCGACGAUCCAUAGCUGGUCUGAGAGGAUGAUCAGCCACACUGGGACUGAGACACAGCCCAGACUCCUACGGGAGGCAGCAGUGGGGAAUAUUGGACAAUGGGCGAAAGCCUGAUCCAGCAAUGCCGCGUGAGUGAUGAAGGCCUUAGGGUUGUAAAGCUCUUUUACCCGGGAUGAUAAUGACAGUACCGGGAGAAUAAGCGCCGGCUAACUCCGUG
rnacentral:rRNA from 1 species